AGGGCGCAUGGUGAAUGCCUUGGCAUCAGGAGCCGAUGAAGGACGCGAUAAGCUGCGAUAAGCUUCGGGUAGACGCACAUAGUCAGAGAUCCGAAGAUUUCCGAAUGAGGAAACUCACAUGGGAAACCCCAUGUAUCAUAAAGUGAAUACAUAGCUUUAUGAAGGUAUACCCAGGGAACUGAAACAUCUAAGUACCUGGAGGAAGAGAAAGAAAAAUCGAUUUUCUUAGUAGCGGCGAGCGAAAAGGAAAGAGCCCAAACCAGAGAUUUAUCUCUGGGGUUGCGGACAGAACAUAACGAGAAAUCAUAGUUAAUUGAACACAACUGGAAAGUUGGACCACAGUGGGUAAUAGUCCCGUAAGUGAAAACUAUGAUAAUCAGUUCUGCACCAGAGUACCACGAGACACGUGAAACCUUGUGGGAAGCAGGGAGGACCACCUCCCAAGGCUAAAUACUACCUGAUGACCGAUAGUGAAGCAGUACCGUGAGGGAAAGGUGAAAAGAACCCCGGGAGGGGAGUGAAAUAGAACCUGAAACCAUGUGCCUACAACCGAUCAGAGCACCUUAUGUGUGUGAUGAUGUGCUUUUUGUAGAACGAGCCAACGAGUUACGGUAUGUAGCGAGGUUAAGUACUUAAGGUACGGAGCCGAAGGGAAACCGAGUCUUAAUAGGGCGACUAGUUGCAUGCUGUAGACCCGAAACCGGGUGACCUAUCCAUGGCCAGGUUGAAGCGAGGGUAAAACCUCGUGGAGGACCGAACCACGUUGCUGUUGAAAAAGCAUGGGAUGAGCUGUGGAUAGCGGAGAAAUUCCAAUCGAACUCGGAUAUAGCUGGUUCUCCUCGAAAUAGCUUUAGGGCUAGCGUCGGAAAAUGUGAGUAGUGGAGGUAGAGCACUGAAUAGGCUAGGGGGCAUAGCGCUUACCGAACCUUAUCAAACUCCGAAUGCCACAUACUAUCAGUCCGGCAGUCAGACUAUGAAAGAUAAGUUCCAUGGUCAAAAGGGAAACAGCCCAGAUCGUCAGCUAAGGUCCCAAAGUGUAAGUUAAGUGGAAAAGGAUGUGGGAUUUCUAAGACAACUAGGAUGUUGGCUUAGAAGCAGCCACUCAUUAAAAGAGUGCGUAAUAGCUCACUAGUCAAGAGAUCCUGCGCCGAAAAUGUCCGGGGCUCAAACUUACCACCGAAGCUACGGGUUCACGUUUAACGUGAGCGGUAGAGGAGCGUCGUAAUCGGGCUGAAGUCGUACCGUAAGGAGCGGUGGACUGAUUACGAGUGAGAAUGUUGGCAUUAGUAGCGAGAUGUAGGCGAGAAUCCUACAGGCCGAAUAUCUAAGGUUUCCUGAGUAAAGUUUGUCUUCUCAGGGUUAGUCGGGACCUAAGGCGAGGCCGAAAGGCGUAGUCGAUGGACAAUUGGUUGAUAUUCCAAUACCACUAUAAUCGUUAUUAUCGAUGGUGUGACGGAGAAGGAUAGGAUGUGCUAGCUAUUGGAUGCUAGUCUAAGCGUUUAGGGAGUUGGGAUUGGCAAAUCCGUUCCAACAAUUCUGAGGCGUGAUGGGGAAGGUUCUACGGAACCGAAGUAUCUGAUUCCAUGCUUCCAAGAAAAGCAUCUAGAGAGAGAAGUAGUGCCCGUACCGCAAACCGACACAGGUAGAUGAGGAGAGAAUCCUAAGGCCGACGGAAGAAUUGCAGUUAAGGAACUAGGCAAAUUGACCCCGUAACUUCGGGAGAAGGGGUGCCUGAGAAAUCAGGCCGCAGAGAAUAGGCACAAGCAACUGUUUAACAAAAACACAGGUCUCUGCUAAAGCGAAAGCUGAUGUAUAGGGGCUGACGCCUGCCCGGUGCUGGAAGGUUAAGGGGAACACUUAGUGGUAACGCGAAGGUGUGAACUUAAGCCCCAGUAAACGGCGGCCGUAACUAUAACGGUCCUAAGGUAGCGAAAUUCCUUGUCAGGUAAGUUCUGACCCGCACGAAUGGCGUAAUGACUUGUGCACUGUCUCAACUGCAAAUCCGGCGAAGUUGUAGUGCGAGUGAAGAUGCUCGCUACCCGCGAUUGGACGGAAAGACCCCGUAGAGCUUUACUGUAGCUUAGCAUUGAAUUUCGGUAUUGUCUGUACAGGAUAGGUGGGAGACUGGGAAACUAGGGCGUCAGCCUUGGUGGAGUCGUUGUUGGGAUACCACCCUGAUAGUAUUGAAGUUCUAACUGGAUGCCAUGAAACUGGUGACAGGACAUUGUUAGGUGGGCAGUUUGACUGGGGCGGUCGCCUCCUAAAAUGUAACGGAGGCGCCCA
rnacentral:rRNA from 1 species